rnacentral:lncRNA from 1 species
CGACACACCACUAAAGCUCGUUGGCAGCCUGUGAAAAAGGGAAAUGAGUUCUGUUCUGAAUGCUUGUUUUUCUUCUCUUUGAAGGUAUGAAGGACAGGCCCUCUGUCUUAAUGACUGACUGACUCGCAGACAUGGCUUUCAACAACAUGGUCGGUCCUAGAGGAGGAAGUGAUGCUCUAACAGUCACACGACCCAACACACGGCUGACUGGUGCUCCAGACAAAGGGUGUCCCCUACCAUCCAUCCAUCUAUAGGCCACAGGUGAGCUCUCUUAUACCGGGCAAACCAGACUUUCAAGUCUCCCACACUAACAUACACAUACAUAUUGGGCUGGGCUCCUCUCACCUGUGCAAAUAGAAUUGGCUAGGGUGAGAGAAAGAAAGAGAGAGCGAGAAGGUGAGAGACAAAAAGAGAGGUGGGUGACA